GCCAAGGGGGAGGGGGAUAAGGAGGGAGUGGAAUAGAUAGGGAAAUUGGGGCUAAUAGAUGCAGACUAUUGCCUUUGGAAUGGAUUAGCAAUGAGAUCCUCCUGUGUAGCACUGGGAACUAUGUCUGGUCACUUAUGAAGGAGCAUUAUAAUGUGAGAAAAAAGCAUAUAUGUGAGAAAAAAGUAUGUGUAAGUGGAAAAUUGACAGAAUAUAUAAUAUAUAUAUAUAUAUAGGACUCUUUUGAAGCCCUGCAAUUGAAAUGAAUCCACCUUAAAUCCUUCAGCAAGGAUCCAUUGGAAGGCAAGUCUGAUGUCAGCAGCUGUGGUUAUUCCAGCUUCAAUAGUGUAUAUUAAAGUUGCUGCAGUUAAAAAGGUGAAGUUGGAUGUUGGGAGUGGGUGGGUGCUCUGCCAUGAGGAUAUAUAUAUAUAUAUAGGACUCUUUUGAAGCCCUGCAAUUGAAAUGAAUCCACCUUAAAUCCUUCAGCAAGGAUCCAUUGGAAGGCAAGUCUGAUGUCAGCAGCUGUGGUUAUUCCAGCUUCAAUAGUGUAUAUUAAAGUUGCUGCAGUUAAAAAGGUGAAGUUGGAUGUUGGGAGUGGGUGGGUGCUCUGCCAUGAGGUGAGCCACUGCCUAUCCCUGCCCCUUGCCUCUUGGUACCCCCUUGAUGCUUUUAGCUGAGUGUCCUAUGGGAACUGAAGCAUUUAUUUUGACAAAAAAAUUACGUUCAAAGCAGGCUCAAGCCACCUGGAUACUGCAGCUAGGAAUAAUGUAAUAGGACCAUGGUUCUUUUUGUUGUUUUGUUUUGAACUGAGGCCAUGAUUACGAGGGAUGGCCAGGGUCAUUUGUAUUGUGUUACUAGAGGUGAAAUUUUUAGACUGGUGCAAGAUGGACCAGAGUGAAAGCAUUUGCCGAGAAUGUUUUCAUUAAUCAAGAAUGAAAAUCAAAGUUUCGAAGAUGGUCGUAUGUCAUUGUAGUUCUGACCAUAAAUGAUGACAACUGGCGGUGCAGCAGCAUUAUUCCCAAGACCUACUUGAAAAAUUCUGGUAAACCCAAGUCUUUGGGUUCCAGGGGGAGUAUGAUUGCAAAGCUGGAGCUUAAAGGAAUUGAUGGGAGGGCACCAUCAGGAGUUGAGCCUUUGGCUUAAUUUGACUCAGCAUGGGAAAUCUCACCCAGCCCAGACACGGACAGUAUUGACAGAUUAAUAGCUCUUUCUCAAUUCUGUGGGUGGUGGUACAUGGCCGUACUUAGUUGUAGUGAUUAGGUUAAUUCUGAUAAUGAACAAGAUUCUGGCAUGCUAACUAGUUAUAUGACCCCUGAGCGGUGGGCAUCCCCCCAACUUCUUGGAGGGACAAGUGCCAUUCAGCCACCCGAGAUUGAGCAAUAACAGGUCUGUGAUGCCCUUACAUAUCUGAGGCUGCACUCAUGCUACACUGACUGGCUCAGCGUGUGCCUACCCUAUGCCAGCAGGCAUGGGUAACAUAUUGAAUUCUACUUGUGAUGAGGAUCAGGGAUUGCAGUUAUUCCCCAUGAAGGAGGAAUUCCCAGUAAGUGUGAGUCAUAAGCUAGUGUUAUGUGCCUGUCACUUGUACAUAUCACCCAUUGCAAUUACUGAUUGGAAGGUUUAGUGAGGCCCUUGGGUUGGUCAUGCUGGGUUUGGCACAGGGACCUGGCAGAGCUCUAAGAAGAUAGUUGAAGUUGACUAUCAAGAGGAAGUUAAAGUUUUAACAAGGUGUCCCUAGGUGAACUAGCAGAUC
rnacentral:rRNA from 1 species